CCCCUACCGGGGGCUCCCUGACGGUUGGGCGCCGGUGGGCGGGCCCAGUGGGGCACUCACCAAUGGCGGAGCAGGACUCGCUGCCUGGUAACAGGACGCCAGGUAGUAACGGGCAGCAGUAGCUGCCGUGCUAAGGGCUGAACUCACUGUGCUGUUCCAACAGAAGCAGCUGCAGGCCAUUCUCAAUUCUCAAAUGCAGGUGGCCAGUGUGCGGCUUCCAUCCUCAAGGUGACCUCAUGACUCAGGAUGGCUGCUGAACCACACACACCCUUGUUUCUGGUUGUUGUAACCAUCAAGUUCCAUCUGUGGAAGUCCCUCCUAAGUAGAAAAGCACCAGGUAAAUGUAAAAAAGUAUUUCUAAAAUAUAACAAGCAAUAUGCAGGUAUAAACAUGUGGAGCAUUCAAAGCAACUGACUUUUACUAGUAGCCAGCAGGACAGCUUGGAAAACCACAGAUUUUCAGGUCAAAAAAGACCUGGAUUCAAGUCCCCAUCCUGCCACUUACAGCUUGAGGGAUCUUGGGCAAGUCACUUAAAUAUUUUUUAUGUAUUUCUGAGCCUCAAUCUUUUCAAUUAUAAAAUGGAGAAAAUAACACCUCCCCCACAGGAGACAACAAGUAAGAAGCAGUUCAUAGGGAAUACAACGAAGAGAACACAACGAAAUUUAAUUGUGACCUCAUAUUAAAAAUAUCAGUUAUUCUACUCAGAACACAUGGGAGAAAUUAUAUCUGUCUUUCCAGAGUUUACCAUAAUCACAUCAAACAGAGUAAAUUUAUUUAAUAUUUAUUAAACCCUAUCAAAUGCCAGCAGUAAAGAAUCCUCCUGCAAAAC